ACAAGCAGCCAUAUCAACCUGCAACUCACAACUGGCAACCCACUGAUGCAGGUGUGAGCCUGGUCAGUACCUGGAUGGGAGACCUCCUGGGAAAAACUAGGUUGCUGCUGGAA
rnacentral:rRNA from 1 species